UACGAAGGGGGCUAGCGUUGCUCGGAAUCACUGGGCGUAAAGGGUGCGUAGGCGGGUCUUUAAGUCAGGGGUGAAAUCCUGGAGCUCAACUCCAGAACUGCCUUUGAUACUGAGGAUCUUGAGUUCGGGAGAGGUGAGUGGAACUGCGAGUGUAGAGGUGAAAAUUCGUAGAUAUUCGUCAAGAACACCAGUCGGCGAAGG
rnacentral:rRNA from 1 species